UGUUGUUUGCCGACACUCUGGUGCCAAGUGAAUGUUGUAUUUGGUUCCUAUUUAGGUGCAAACUAGAUUGAUUUUAGCUAACUACUCACCAUUAUAGCCUUUUCUACCAUGGCUAUGAUAGGUCCAUUUCAGUGGCAUACAA
rnacentral:snoRNA from 1 species